GAUGAACGCUGGCGGCGUGCUUAACACAUGCAAGUCGAACGGAAAGGCCCAAGCUUGCUUGGGUACUCGAGUGGCGAACGGGUGAGUAACACGUGGGUGAUCUGCCCUGCACUUCGGGAUAAGCCUGGGAAACUGGGUCUAAUACCGGAUAGGACGAUGGUUUGGAUGCCAUUGUGGAAAGUUUUUUCGGUGUGGGAUGAGCUCGCGGCCUAUCAGCUUGUUGGUGGGGUAAUGGCCUACCAAGGCGUCGACGGGUAGCCGGCCUGAGAGGGUGUACGGCCACAUUGGGACUGAGAUACGGCCCAGACUCCUACGGGAGGCAGCAGUGGGGAAUAUUGCACAAUGGGCGCAAGCCUGAUGCAGCGACGCCGCGUGGGGGAUGACGGCCUUCGGGUUGGAAACUCCUUUCGCUAGGGACGAAGCGUUUUUGUGACGGUACCUGGAGAAGAAGCACCGGCUAACUACGUG
rnacentral:rRNA from 1 species